rnacentral:rRNA from 1 species
AUUGAACGCUGGCGGCAGGCUUAACACAUGCAAGUCGAGCGGGGAAGGGUAGCUUGCUACCUAACCUAGCGGCGGACGGGUGAGUAAUGCUUAGGAAUCUGCCUAUUAGUGGGGGACAACAUUUCGAAAGGGAUGCUAAUACCGCAUACGCCCUAAGGGGGAAAGCAGGGGAUCUUCGGACCUUGCGCUAAUAGAUGAGCCUAAGUCGGAUUAGCUAGUUGGUGGGGUAAAGGCCUACCAAGGCGACGAUCUGUAGCGGGUCUGAGAGGAUGAUCCGCCACACUGGGACUGAGACACGGCCCAGACUCCUACGGGAGGCAGCAGUGGGGAGUAUUGGACAAUGGGGGGAACCCUGAUCCAGCCACGCCGCGUGUGUGAAGAAGGCCUUUUGGUUGUAAAGCACUUUAAGCGAGGAGGAGGCUACCGAGACUAAUACUCUUGGAUAGUGGACGUUACUCGCAGAAUAAGCACCGGCUAACUCUGUGCCAGCCGCCGCCGUAACAC